rnacentral:sRNA from 1 species
CCGUCUCGCCCAUGGCGGGCUUAUCCUCCCUUCGACUUGAGGCCCCGCGCGCGUCACGCCGUGGGGCCUUUUUUCGGCCCUCG